AUGUUCAUGCACCAGAGAGUUGUUCGUCAUGCUGGGAAUCCUUCGAUCCACUAUGGUCCAUUGUUUAUCCGGGAACAGGAGAGGAUCCAAAAUCUAAACUACAUCUACAACUGCAAUGACGUCGAGGCUCUGUGGAUGCUUCGAAUGAAAAGAGCACCAUUUUCCAGGCUUGUCGAGACCUUCAGGAGCAGGGGGCUGCUACAAGAUAACAUCAACACCAGUGUGGAAGAGCAAGUGGCCAUGUUUCUCCAUGUUGUUGGCCAUAACCAGAGGUUCAGGGUCAUUCACAACACAUUCAGGAGAUCAAUGAAGACCAUCUCUAGGUACUUCAAGCAGGUGCUUUUUGCUAUUGGGGAUCUUAGAGGAGAGAUGAUCAGGAGACCAUCUGGCCAGACUCCGCCCAAGAUUCACAGAAGCCCAAGAUGGUAUCCAUACUUCAAGGAUUGCAUUGGGGCAAUA
rnacentral:rRNA from 1 species